rnacentral:rRNA from 1 species
UUGACCUCGGAUCAGGUAGGAAUACCCGCUGAACUUAAGCAUAUCAAUAAGCGGAGGAAAAGAAACCAACAGGGAUUGCCUCAGUAACGGCGAGUGAAGCGGCAACAGCUCAAAUUUGAAAUCUGGCCCCAGGCCCGAGUUGUAAUUUGCAGAGGAUGCUUUUGGUGAGGUGCCUUCCGAGUUCCCUGGAACGGGACGCCAUAGAGGGUGAGAGCCCCGUCUGGUCGGACACCGAGCCUCUGUAAAGCUCCUUCGACGAGUCGAGUAGUUUGGGAAUGCUGCUCUAAAUGGGAAGUAUAUGUCUUCUAAAG